UGAUCCGAGGCUCAGGCUGUAGCUCGCCUAGCUGUGUAUCUGUAUGUUAUUUCUUUGGCGGGAAUUAGUACCUCUGGCGGUACAAUGAGCGUAGCCCAUUAUAGCUAAUUAUGCUUGUAAAUGUACAUGUAUGUACAAAGAGAUAGAGGGAUCGAAGGGAAAUUAUGGUCAGUUGCUGUAAUCACAUAAUCAACUGCACCCGUCUCUUAAUUUCUGAAAUUUCGCCCGCACCUUUGUUUGGUUUCUGAUUCAGUGGGGUUUGUUUUUAUAUCGGUUUUGCAGGAAUAAUUUGAGGAUCUUAGAGUCAAGGGAAGAAUUUGCGGAUCUUAGAGCCAAAGGGUUGGGGUUUUGAGAAUUUUUGUUUGAAAUGAUUGUUGGCACUAGCCAGAAAGAGAGGAAUACCUUGGGUGGAAGGGUUGCCAACAUAAGUGCAGGAAGAAUUGCUAGAUAACAGUCUCUGGGAAGAUCUGACAUGGAGGCCAUCUACUUUGAUGAAGGUGUAAGGAACUCAAGACGACACCAAUUGAAAACAAGAGCAUUGUUGGGUUAUGGAAUGGGAGGUGGAAGACGGUCAAAAUCAGAUUGGAGGUACAAGAGAUAUAUUUCUCAAUUUGUAUCAUAUCUUUUGUAAUAGCAAGAAACUGCCAUGCUUUAUUAAUUGAAUUGUAUAUGAUUAAAAUAUCCUAUCCUUGGGUUAAUAAUAUUUUCUUGAUCUUCUAAACUUCUUCAUUUCAAACAAUUCCAAUUGUUCUAAAGAGUGAGUAAAUCAAAUUGUUAUUUAUCUACAUGAGCACAUUACUCACCGCACCUCACAAUGUAGUUUAACCUAGCUAGAGU